GAAUUGUUCGAUUAGGAGAGUUUUAGAUCUCCAGAUUUGAGUUCAAGUGAAGCAGAUUUGAGGCUUGGUUCUAAUUGCAGGCCACGGGGAUUGGAAUUUCCUAUGAUCCCUCCUCAUAUUGCGACCGGAAAAGCCUGGUGCAAGACGUUGCUGAUUCGUGUAGAACCGGAGCUGCAAUGAACAACUGGAAUGAGUGACCAAAGCUAUUAUUACUGGUGUCGAAAUGACUAGAAUGAGUGAUAGAGUUUGUGUUGACCUUUGCAGCCUCAUGAAACCUGGUUGGAUCUUUUGCUAGAGGAUUAUUUCUUGUUCACUCACAGUCAAACUACAUUGCCACCAGGCCUUUCGCAGUUAACACUGUGAGUUUUUGUUGAGAUCUAUUAAUUUAC